rnacentral:rRNA from 1 species
UACGUAGGGUCCGAGCGUUGUCCGGAAUUAUUGGGCGUAAAGAGCUCGUAGGCGGUCUGUUGCGUCCGCUGUGAAAACUCGGGGCUUAACCCCGAGCCUGCAGUGGAUACGGGCAGACUAGAGGUAGGUAGGGGAGAAUGGAAUUCCCGGUGUAGCGGUGAAAUGCGCAGAUAUCGGGAGGAACACCGGUGGCGAAGGCGGUUCUCUGGGCCUUACCUGACGCUGAGGAGCGAAAGCGUGGUGAGCGAACAGG